rnacentral:tRNA from 1 species
UCGGGAUAGCUCAGUUGGUAGAGCAGAGGACUGAAAAUCCUCGUACCCCUUUCUCUUAUAA